GGGGGAGGUACCCAAGGGGAUUAGGGCAGGGGAUUGGAAACCCCCCCUUGCGCGAA
rnacentral:tRNA from 1 species